rnacentral:rRNA from 1 species
AACUUAAAAGACCUGGCGGUACUCUAAACCAACCUAGAGGGGCCUGUCUAGUAAUCGAUACUCCCGAAAAACCCAACCUCUUCUGGCCAAAUCAGCCUGUAUACCGCCGUCGAAAGCUCAUUUCUCAAGAAAUCGAAGCUAAAUAGUAUAAUCACUAAUACGUCAGGUCAAGGUGUAACACAUGGGGAGGAUAAGAUUGGCCACAGUACAGCACUUAAUAAAACAACCAUGAAACGCGUAACUAACAAGAAUUUAGCAGUAAGGGAACUAACGAAUGACUCCCUGUAACCAACACACUGCCCUAGAGUGCGCACACACCGCCCGUCU